rnacentral:lncRNA from 1 species
UAAGCGAAAGCGAGCAAAAGAAUGUCGUUCCUUUAUUAUGCCAUGAAGAGAACUUGUUUAAUUUAUUUCAGUCGAAUGCAUGCCGAUCGUUCAUGCAUGCAGUGGCUAGGCGGAUAGAUUGGUGCAGUUCCUGUAGCACAUGCAUGUACUUUUUUUUUUGAGCAUCAGUACAGACACAAGCGCUCAUAUACACGCGCAUACACUCACCCCUAUGAAUGCACACACGCACACCAUACCCUUAUGAGCACCUCCGAGAGACCGAGCCGGCAUAUCAUCUUGAGAUUUACGAAGUCACCGUAGGCGCCUCGGCCCUGCAGGAGCCUGCAAUGACGCAAACGCCUCCCAUCCACUGCCUGCUUAUCUGCUUUUCGCAGCCAUGCGACCCCAUUUUUUCUGCAUUGAUCCACAGAUAAUACAGUACGAAUUAACCAUCAGCUAAACUAAUUUGGAUCAGAUUGAUCCGGAGUUGUGUGGGGCGAUGGUCUUCCUACCAGAUGACAGGAGAAGCAGCAUCACCACGGAC